rnacentral:rRNA from 1 species
AUUGCACGCUGGCGGCAGGCCUAACACAUGCAAGUCGAGCGGAGAGCCGGCGGGGUGCGUAAUGCCUAGGCAUCUGCCAUGUACUGGGGGAUAACGUUCGGAAACGGGAGCUAAUACCGCAUACUCUCAGAUGAACCUAUGUCGGAUUAGCUAGUGGGUGGGGUAAAGGCACACCAAGGCGACGCUCCGUAACUGGUCUGAGAGGAUGAUCAGUCACACUGGAACUGUGAAAAGGUGCAGACUCUGACGAGAGGCAGCAGUGGGGAAGAUUGGACAAUGGGCGAAAGCCUGAUGCAGCCAUGCCGCGUGUGUGAAGAAGGGCUUCGGAUUGUAAAGCACUUGAAGUGGGGAGGCGUUACCAGCAGAAGAAGCACCGGCUAAGUGCGUGCCAGCAGCCGCGGUAAUAG